ACUCCUACGGGAGGCAGCAGUGGGGAAUAUUGCACAAUGGGCGAAAGCCUGAUGCAGCAACGCCGCGUGAAGGAUGAAGGGUUUCGGCUCGUAAACUUCUAUCAAUAGGGACGAAAAAAAUGACGGUACCUAAAUAAGAAGCCCCGGCUAACUACGUGCCAGCAGCCGCGGUAAUACGUAGGGGGCAAGCGUUAUCCGGAAUUACUGGGUGUAAAGGGAGAGUAGGCGGCAUGGUAAGUUAGAUGUGAAAGCCCGGGGCUUAACCUCGGGAUUGCAUUUAAAACUAUCAAGCUAGAGUACAGGAGAGGUAAGUGGAAUUCCUAGUGUAGCGGUGAAAUGCGUAGAUAUUAGGAAGAACACCAGUGGCGAAGGCGACUUACUGGACUGAAACUGACGCUGAGGCUCGAAAGCGUGGGGAGCGAACAGGAUUAGAUACCCUGGUAGUC
rnacentral:rRNA from 1 species